UACGGGGGGAGCAAGCGUUGUUCGGAUUUACUGGGCGUAAAGGGCGCGUAGGCGGCCACGACAAGUCACUUGUGAAAUCUCCGGGCUUAACUCGGAAAGGUCAAGUGAUACUGUCGGGCUAGAGUACAGAAGGGGCAACUGGAAUUCUCGGUGUAGCGGUGAAAUGCGUAGAUAUCGAGAGGAACACCUGCGGCGAAGGCGGGUUGCUGGGCUGACACUGACGCUGAUGCGCGAAAGCUAGGGGAGCGAACGGG
rnacentral:rRNA from 1 species